rnacentral:rRNA from 1 species
GGAUGCGAUCAUACCAGCACUAAAGCACCGGAUCCCAUCAGAACUCCGAAGUUAAGCGUGCUUGGGCGAGAGUAGUACUAGGAUAGGUGACCUCCUGGGAAGUCCUCGUGUUGCAUUCUC